CGCGCAGGCGGUCCUUUAAGUCAGAGGUGAAAGCCCAGGGCUCAACCCUGGAACGGCCUUUGAAACUAGAGGACUUGGGUACGGGAGAGGUGAGUGGAAUUCCGAGUGUAGAGGUGAAAUUCGUAGAUAUUCGGAAGAACACCAGUGGCGAAGGCGGCUCACUGGCCCGUUACCGACGCUCAGGCGCGACAGCGUGGGGAGCAAACAGGAUUAGAUACCCUGGUAGUCCACGCCGUAAACGAUGGAUGCUAGCCGUUGGUAAGCAUGCUUAUCAGUGGCGCAGCUAACGCAUUAAGCAUCCCGCCUGGGGAGUACGGCCGCAAGGGUUGAA
rnacentral:rRNA from 1 species